rnacentral:rRNA from 1 species
AAGUCAUCAUGGCCCUUAUGUCCAGGGCGACACACGUGCUACAAUGGCCGGUACAGAGGGAAGCGAGCCCGAGAGGGUGAGCGGAUCCCAAUAAAGCCGGUCGCAGUUCGGAUUGAGGUCUGCAACUCGACCUCAUGAAGCUGGAAUCGCUAGUAAUCGCAGAUCAGCCAAGCUCGCGGUUCCGAAUACGUUCCGGCCUU